rnacentral:lncRNA from 1 species
UGUUGAUGCCCUCAUCGUGUCUCCUGGAUUAAAUCAUUGUUUUCUUUCAUUUUGGAGAGGGAAAAAGACAGUGGGAAUCAUGAAGGCAAAGAAUAAUGGUAGUUAAACAUAUAAAAGUGUUAAAGUGCUCGAUAAUGUUUCUAAGUGCUCAGUGAACAUAUUUCCUAUCUAAUAAAUGUAUGACUAAUAAUAAUAUUCAGACAGCCAUAACUCCUUCCAGCAAAGGCUUUGAAUGCAAAACAGAUCAGAAUGCUCCUGGACAGGGAAGAGUAAUUGGUUCUUAUUGUAGUCAUCAGGGUGAGUUCUCAGCUCUCUUAGCUGUCAUUCCAGAUGGGAAAGUGGGACAACAGGAUAUGAUGAUACUGUUACCACAGCAAAGACUUAUCUGUGCUUGCUUUCACAGCCCUCCAAAGCAACCCCGUCCUUUAUUUUCUGCACUGACUCAGCUUGGUGGCUGUUAGGAAAUCACAAAGAUCCCUGCAACGGGAAUUGUCACCAAAAGUCAAAGAUACCUAGAUAUGUAUCCCAAACAAAACAUUUCAAGAGACGAAUGGCUCUAGAAACUCGAGGGCAGCUUCGGAUGGAGAAACGUCGCAAGCGAGGAAACAGAAGGCAGAGGGAAAAGUCAGAAACCCUCGUCUGGUUUCUGCCGGGUUUGAACACUAUUUGCUUUGGCUUCCAGACGCAGCAAUUUAGCAACAGGAAAUGUCAGCUCAUUAGAACCAUCGCAUGGCAUGGCACGAUGAUAGCGGCGGCUCCGCUGGCCGGGCUCCAGCCGUCGCACUCCGCAGGGAAACUGCACGGUUUGAUGGGAAGGGCUCGGUUUCCCUCUCAAGGCAGGACAGUUUAGUGGGCUAGUUGACUUGGCAGGCUGUUAACAGAAUUAAUUUGAUUGCCUUGGCAGUGGUAGGAGGAUGCAUGAAGGAAACCUUCUGGCUCUGUUGCCAGCGUAUAAUACCAAAUGAUUAUCAUACGCCAUUGAACUGGUGCUGGAUGAAGCAUGCGUGAGGGCUUGCAACAACUUUACCAAAAAUAGUAAGUGCCAUUUGAAGUUGGCAAACCCGUGCUCGAGAGAAAACAAUCUUUCCAGUUAAAGCCAGUCAGAACUUCACC